UUUGGGAGACCGAGGCUGGCAGAUUGCUUGAGCCUGGAAAUUUGAGAACAGCCUGGGCAAUAUGGCAAAACCCCGUUUCUACAAAAAACAAAACAAACAAACAAAAAAAAACAACAAAAAAAACACAUUAGCUGGGCAUGGUGACGUGUGCCUGUAGUCCCAGCUACUUGGGAGGCUGAGGCAGGAAGAUCGCCUGAGCCAGGGAGGUUGAGACUGCCAUGAGUUGUGAUCAUGCCACUGCACUCCAGCCUGGGUGACAGAGUGAGAACCUGUCUCAAAAACAACGACAAAUAAACCCCAAAAACAAAAAAUAAGAAAAAGAAAUAUGGCUGAAAUUUUUCAAAUUUGAUGAAAACUAUAAGCUCACAUAUUUGAGAAGUACAAGGCAUUUCAAGCAGGCUAAACACAAAGACAAAUAUACUAAGACACAUCAUAACAAAAUUUGUAAAAACUGAUAGUAUAAAGAAAAUUUUAAAAAGCAGAUAGGGGUGGGGAACAUGUUAUGAACAGAGCAACAAAGAUAAGAAUUAUCAUCGUUUUCUCACCUGAGCCUAUUUAAACCAGAAGACAAUGUAACACCAUCUUUAAAGUACUGAAACUAAAGCAAACAGAACAGAACAAGAAAAUUAAAUUAACAAAAACCUUCUGUUAAACUAGAAUGCCAUAUCAAAUGAACAUUUCUUUUAAAAGUGGAGUUUAAAUAAUGGCUUUUCAAAGAAAAGUUGAAAGAACUUGUAUUUAUGAGAUCUGAACUACAAGAAAUGUUAUAAGACAUUCUUGAGGAAGAAAUUAGAGCUACAUACAGACAUAAAGAACCCUACAAAUUGUAAAUAUAUGAAUAAAUAAAAAAUUUUACUUAAGAUUUUUUUCAAAAGAUAACUGAAGCAAAAACGGCAGUCGUUUUAUAGUUUAUAAUACAUACAGAUAAAAAUAUAUAAUAGUACAAAGAAUGGGAAGGAGAAAAUGGAAGAAUAUCACUGUAAGUAAUAUAAUAGCACUGAAGGUAGACUGAGAUAAGCUAAAAUGUAUAUUUUAAAAUUUAAAGCAACACAUACACACACACACACACACACACACACACACACACACACAUACCCCAAAAAUGAAAAAACAGAGGGAGAGCUAAUAAGCCAGAGAUAAAACCCAAUUAUAAAAACAUUUAAUUUAAUCCAAAGAAGGCAGAAAAAAGGAACAAAAAAAGAAUUAAUGGGGCAAAUUGAAAACAACUAUUAAGAUAGUUAAUUCAAACAUAGCCAUAUCAAUAAUCAUAAUAAGUGUAUACUUUCUAAACACUUCAAUUAAAGGGCCAACAUUAUUAGAAUGGAUUAAAAAAAAGAAAUAAUCAUUCCUGUUAUAGUUUUGUGUUGUCUAUAAAAUGUGUACAGUAAAUACAAAGUCACAGAUAGGUUCAAAAUAAAAGGAUGGAAAAAAUAUACCAUUCAAACACUAAUCAAAUGAAAGCUGUAAUUCAUAUAUUAAUAUCAGAAAAAAGGACUUUUCAGAACAAGGUAUAUUGCCAGGGAUUAUGAUACAGAAAAAGCAUUUGUAAAAAAUAUAGCCCUCAUUCAUGAUUAAAACUCUCAACAAAUUAGGAAUACAAGUCCAGUUUGGUGUACUUCUGAUUUACAGGGAAUCUGCAAAAACUUACAGUGAAUAUCAUACUUAAUGGGGAACAAUUGAAUACUUUCCAUUUAGGACUGUGAACAAGUCAAGGAUGUUUGUUUUUAUAACUUCUGUUCGACACUCGUUGUCUUAACUGGUUGUGAUAAUUUUAUGUGUCAGUUUAACUAGGCAAACGGUACCUAGAUAACUGGUGAAACAAAAUUUCUGUGAAACAUCUGUGAAGAUGUUUCUAAAAGAGAUUAGCAUUUGCAUCAGUAGACGGGGUAAAGAUGACCCUGACCAAUGUGAGUAGGCAUCAUCCAAUCUGUUGAGGGCCUGAAUAAAACAAAAAGGCAGAGGAAGUGAAUUUGCUCUCUCUGCUUUAGCUUGGCAUAUCCAAUUUUUCCGGGCUUCUGACAUUGGCACUCCUGGUUCUCAGACCUUCAAACUUGAACUGGGAUUUAUACCAUCAGCCUUCCAGUUCUCUGGUCUUUGAACUCAGACUGAAACUUACACUAUUGGGUUCUCUCCUACUUGGUAGGUGAUGAUUGGACUUUAUAAAUAUCAGUUUUUUUCCUUUAAAAGGUGCUAUUAAAACAUUAAAAUUAAAUCCAUAGAUUAAAAUACUCAGAAUACCUAGGUCAGACAAAGUACUUGCAACUAGAAUAUAUAAGGAACACUUAAAACUUGAUAAAAAGAAUAAAAAGGACCUCCCCAAAAUGGCAAAAUAUUUCAUAUCAUUUUUCAGAAGACAUAAGUGGCCAAUAAGCAUGUACAAAUAUGUUCAAUAAAAUUAUUCAUCGGGAAAAGCAAUUAAAACCAC
rnacentral:lncRNA from 10 species